CUAGUUAAACCCCUGAACUAAAUCUGAGCCCUGUUCCUCGCGGCGAGUUCGCGGCUUAAUCCAGUGCAUGGGGAAACCGGCCUGGGCCGGGAAACGUGGUUUUGCCUUGUCUCCCUGACGCACAAAGCCAGCACGCUGCACUGAGCAUGAUUCACAGGCCCAGCUUCAAGUGGUCCCGGAGACCGAUGGGUUUCCACACCUGUCCUUUUGGAUCUGGGCCUUGAUACCUUGAAAUGGUGCUGGGAUGAGCAGGCUCCAGGUUACUUCACCUGCUCGAAUGCAGGACCGCAGAGGGUCACUGCAGUUGUGACCUGGUCACUGGAGGUGACCACAACUUGUUGCCUGGCUCAGUGGCGGCCAACCUUUUUGAGUGCCAAAAUUAGCCCUGCACCUUCCCUGAAUGCCACAGGGAUCCCCUUCCCUGCCGGGUCUGCUUUCUGCCUUGUGUUCCCUACUCCAUCUGCUGCUCUGCUUUCAUCUGCUGCUCUGCUUUCUGCUCCCUCCCCUAUGUGGCAGUGUGCUGCCUGUCCCCUCCAUGGUCUGCUGCAUGCCACGUGCACACAAGCUGCCUGAGGCACAAAUGUCAUGGGCUGGCCAGGCCUGGACUAGCUGUUUGCAAAAGUUCUUCAGUGCUUUCAAAAGGAUGAAUAUCCGGAAUGAGAUGAACCAGCAGAAGCCCAUUGUGUUCCUGUGAGCUGCAGGACCCCCAAGAGGACCCUGGCGGAUCCCAACCCCAACCCCCAGCGCAGCCGGGAGAGACAGAAUGCAACUGAAAAUUUCAUUUCUGCCUGAAAAUGUUGAACCUGGAGACCACAAAUGUUCCUCUUCUUAAAGCUGCUCACAACAAGAAAGUCUCCCUGAAUCUUCUA